UUUGGAAAUGCAUGUAUGCGUGGAGGUGGGGCAUUUUUACGGCACCUUUUGUUUGUAUUUUUUUUUUAAAAACUUUUGGUAAUGUGAAUUUUCGAUGAAUGAAUGGGGUUUGGGUCUGUUUGGAUGAUUGAAAUUUGUUGUUCAUCCCAUCAAUGUUAAUUUGAAUGGGGGCUAAUAAUCACACAGAGAGGAUUUGCUUGACCAUUGAUUUGUUCUGUUGAAACGUGAGCCACUAAGGAUUUUUCGGGGCUGAGGGGCAUUUUCCGUGCAGGUGUUGGAACCUGAGGACACAAAAGAGAAGUGUUUCUUGUAUGAUAUUGUUGCAAAUGGUCGAACUGGAAUAGAUGUUGACAAGUUUGACUAUAUUGAACGAGAUUGCCGAGCUUGUGGCCUUGGUUGCAAUUUUGAAUUUCAGAGGUUAAUGGAAUGCAUGCAGUUGAUAGUUGAUGAAAUAUGCUCUCGUGCCAAGGAGUACCUUACAGUCCACAAACUGUUUACCACCCAGGCUGAUCCCUAUCAAACAGUAUAUACGCAUGCAAAAGUUAAGGCAAUGGAGCUCAUGUUUGUAGAUGCACUUCUAAAAGCAAACUGUCUUUUGAAAAGAAGAGUUUUAGAGAUUGAGGUUGAAGG